rfam:Rattus norvegicus chromosome 18, whole genome shotgun sequence.
GGAAUUUAGCUCAGUGGUAGAGCGCUUGCCUAGCAAGCACAAGGCCCUGGGUUCGGUCCCCAGCUCCA